UUGUGAAGAUGCCGGGGAGUUCCAAGAUGCUGGAGUCGGACCUGACAAGUGCCGUCACACUUUUGAAAAAACUUCAGGAGCAGGUGAUGGCUGUAACUGCACAAAUACAAGCUCUGACAAAAAAAGUUCAAGCUAGAGCCUGUCCUACAGAGAAGGGUCUCAGCCUCUUGGAGGUAAAAGAUCAGCUACUGCUCAUGUACCUUAUGGAUUUGACCCAUCUCAUCCUGGACAAAGCCUCAGGAGGGUCUCUUCAGGGACAUGCUGCAGUUUUGAGACUGGUGGAGAUUCGCACGGUUUUGGAAAAGCUUCGUCCCUUGGACCAAAAACUGAAGUAUCAAGUUGACAAACUAGUCAAGACUGCAGUGACAGGCAGCCUCAGUGAGAAUGACCCACUCCGUUUUAAGCCUCAUCCCUGCAAUAUGAUGAGCAAGUUGAGCUCUGAGGAUGAGGAGGAAGAUGAAGCAGAAGAAGGUCAGUCUGAAGCUUCAGGGAAGAAAUCUGCAAAAGGAACAGUUAAGAAAUAUGUUCCACCACGCUUGGUUCCAGUACAUUAUGAUGAAACAGAAGCUGAGUGGGAGAAGAAGUGCCUAGAACGGGCAAAAAAACGGGCAUUGAGCAGCUCUGUCAUUCGUGAACUGAAGGAGCAGUACUCAGAUGCUCCAGAGGAAAUCCGUGAUGCUCGGCAUCCUCAUGUUACUCGCCAAAGUCAGGAGGAUCAACACAGGAUUAAUUAUGGUGCGGUUAAGUGUCAGUAAAUGCGAGAAAGGAUGGCGAAAACGGGCCAAUGUCAUGAGCUCACAGCUCCAUUCCCUCACACACUUCAGUGACAUCAGUGCUUUGACAGGAGGAACCCCUCAUCUUGAUGAGGAUCAAAAUACUGUUAAGAAGCAGAAGAAGAUACCGAAGAAAGGUCGGAAGAAAAAGGGUUUUCGGAGGCGACGGUGAUUAUGGGUGUACAUAUUUAUAUGUAUAUUUGUUGUCAUCCUGGGAUACUUCUAAUUUCACUGUAUGUAGGUUUUUUUUCUUUGAAAUUCAUUGUUUGCUCUGGAUAUUUGGAAAGAUCUUUAUUAAUAAAAUUAACUAAUCAAUUAAUAAAAUUGAUUUUACUUAUGAAAACAAAACAAAAC